rnacentral:rRNA from 1 species
UACAGAGGUCUCAAGCGUUGUUCGGAUUCAUUGGGCGUAAAGGGCGCGUAGGCGGCGGGGUAAGUCGGGUGUGAAAUCUCAGAGCUCAACUCUGAAACUGCACUCGAUACUGCUCUGCUUGAGGACUGGAGAGGAGACUGGAAUUCACGGUGUAGCAGUGAAAUGCGCAGAUAUCAGGAGGAACACCGGUGGCGAAGGCGGGUCUCUGGGAAGUAACUGACGCUGAGAAGCGAAAGCGUGGGUAGCGAACAGG